GAUAGGAACUCUGGGAAAGAAUCAGGCAUGGGAUUUACCAGCCAUAAGAAGGAAGAAACAGCCCUAAGGAGAGGGUAACACGCACAGCACAUCAAACACAAUGAAAGCCAGGCAGAAGAGAAGAACCUUCCAGAAGCUGCCAUUUCUCUGAGGCUUGUUUUCCACAUCCAUAAAGCAAGGAAAAUGUUAUCAAGCUCUACAUUUAUCAAGAGGGUCACAUGAGGCUAGCCACGAGGAGGGUCUAUAAGCUACAAUGUAUCGAAUGUCAGAGAACAGAAACAGAGUCCAUCAGGCUGUACCCACCCAGCUCCCCGAUCGAUGCUGACAGAGUGAUAUCAAUCGGUAGCUCAGUGAUCGGAAGAACUCCUGCCAUUCAUGCUGCCCUGGAAUCUCAGUCGUUUUCUUGGGGGACAUGAACACAAAUUAAUAAUUAUACCUUCCUA